rnacentral:rRNA from 1 species
UACGUAGGGGGCAAGCGUUAUCCGGAUUUACUGGGUGUAAAGGGCGUGUAGCCGGGCUGACAAGUCAGAUGUGAAAUCCCGUGGCUCAACCACGGAACUGCAGUUGAAACUGUUAUUCUAGAGUAUGGGAGAGGUAGGUGGAAUUCUUGGUGUAGGGGUAAAAUCCGUAGAGAUCAAGAGGAAUACUCAUUGCGAAGGCGACCUGCUAGAACAUAACUGACGCUGAUGCGCGAAAGCGUGGGGAGCAAACAGG